rnacentral:sRNA from 1 species
CCGGGAUCAGGCAACCCUCUCACCUCGGCCUCCCAAGUAGCUGGGACUACAGGUGCACGCUACCAUGCCUGGCUAAUUUGUUUGUGCUUUUAGUAAAGACGGGGUUUUGUCAUGUUGCUCGGGCUAGCCUCGAACUCUUGGGCUCAAGCGAUCCUCCCUCCUCGGCCUCCCAAAGUGCUGGGAUUACAGGCUUGAACCACCGCACCUGGCCUUCCCCAUUUUUCUCUUAAUCCAUAUCUCAGACAGGAAUCUGUAUCUCUCACUCUACAGAGCAUUCUGUAGGCACUAUGCUGAAUUGGCACCAAUCCCAAAUUUAGUCCUUAAUUCAUCUUGGCCUUUAGGCGAGCAAAGUUAGAGUGGUAAGUUAUGCUCCUUUGCUUACCAAAUCUCUUACUUGGUAUUUAUUCCCCAGGGGUUACAUAGAACAGAGUGGAGGCAGUAGACAUGGAGAAAUCCUAUCUUUUAAGAAAGGAAAAAAAUGGGCAUUUUUCUCAUGGGGAAGGAUUUUUAUUUUUCAAAUGGGUGUUUGAACCGUAAUGAUUUCAUGACAUCUGCUUAAUGGUUUUGUUUCUUUGUCUUACAGAAACAAACAGUCGUUGCUGUCAAAAAAGAGAUCAUGUAUUACCAACAGGCCUUGAUGAGGUCCACAGUGAAGUCUUCUGUGUCCCUGGGAGGGAUUGUGAAAUACAGCGAGCAGUUCUCAUCCAACGAUGCCAUCAUGUCAGGCUGCCUCCCCAGCAACCCCUGGAUCACCGAUGACACCCAGUUCUGGGACUUAAAUGCCAAAUUGGUGGAAAUCCCAACCAAGAUGCGAGUGGAACGAUGGGCCUUCAACUUCAGCGAAUUGAUCCGAGACCCCAAAGGUCGACAGAGCUUCCAGUACUUCCUCAAGAAAGAAUUCAGUGGAGAGAAUUUGGGAUUCUGGGAAGCCUGUGAGGAUCUGAAGUAUGGAGAUCAGUCCAAAGUCAAGGAGAAAGCAGAGGAGAUUUACAAGCUGUUCCUGGCCCCAGGGGCGAGGCGCUGGAUCAACAUAGAUGGCAAAACUAUGGACAUCACAGUGAAGGGGCUGAAGCACCCCCACCGCUAUGUGCUGGACGCCGCACAAACCCAUAUUUACAUGCUCAUGAAGAAGGAUUCUUAUGCUCGCUAUUUAAAAUCUCCGAUCUAUAAGGAAAUGCUGGCCAAAGCUAUUGAACCUCAGGAAACCACCAAGAAAAGCUCCACCCUCCCUUUUAUGCGGCGUCACCUGCGCUCCAGCCCAAGCCCUGUCAUCCUGAGGCAGCUGGAAGAGGAAGCCAAGGCCCGAGAAGCGGCCAACACCGUGGACAUCACCCAGCCGGGCCAGCACAUGGCUCCCAGCCCCCAUCUGACCGUGUACACCGGGACCUGCGUGCCCCCGUCUCCUUCUAGUCCCUUCUCCUCCUCCUGCCGCUCCCCCAGGAAGCCUUUCGCCUCGCCCAGCCGCUUCAUCCGGCGACCCAGCAGCACCAUCUGCCCCUCACCCAUCAGAGUGGCCUUGGAGAGCUCAUCGGGCUUGGAGCAGAAAGGGGAGUGCAGCGGGUCCAUGGCCCCCCGUGGGCCCUCUGUCACCGAGAGCAGUGAGGCCUCCCUCGACACCUCCUGGCCUCGCAGCCGGCCCAGGGCCCCUCCUAAGGCCCGCAUGGCUCUGUCCUUCAGCAGGUUUCUGAGACGAGGUUGUCUGGCCUCACCUGUCUUUGCCAGGCUCUCACCCAAGUGCCCUGCUGUGUCCCACGGGAGGGUGCAGCCCCUGGGGGACGUGGGCCAGCAGCUGCCACGACUGAAAUCCAAGAGAGUAGCAAACUUUUUCCAGAUCAAAAUGGAUGUGCCCACGGGGAGCGGGACCUGCUUGAUGGACUCGGAGGACGCUGGAACAGGAGAGUCUGGUGACCAGGCCACAGAAAAGGAGGUCAUCUGUCCCUGGGAGAGCCUGUGAGGAAAGAAGCAGGUUGAGCUGGGGGCUCUGGACCAGGAAGAUGCUCUGACAGAUGCCAUGGUAUGGGCCACAGGACACACUUGCUCGAGAACCAAAGUGCAUUUGGGUGACGUUUGAGGGUUGGGGAGACAAGAUGGGGUAGAUUGUGGCAAAGAAUGCUCUGGCUGGUUACCAGGGGCCAACUCCUUCUCCUCUUCCUGACCUUCCCUCCCUUGGGCUGAAGAAACGCAUGUGGACCAGAAGACUUUCCCUGCUGCCUUAAAACCAAUAAAAGGUUAACUUUAA